GUGGGUUGACACAACCUCCCCAAUGACAGUCGAGAGCCGUGUACGUCUGUCAACAAAACAACUGACUCUGUCUGUCAUGCCUGCACACGCUUUGAUCGCUGUGUACGUGAAGUCAACGACCAUUAGAACAAGCCUGUGGCCAAUUUGUUGGUCAUGAAUAACUGAUUUCGACCCUUUAGACCGUCAGAUCCCAGACCAGCAUCUCCUCUACACAAAGAAGGUCGUGACAAUGGCACUUCAAAGUAAUGAAGCAGCUGCUGUUAUCUCAGGAGCCGGUGAAGAAUGCGUUGGGGAGGAGGAGGUGUUAAAAGAAGAGAGAUACGGUCGCUGCGAUCUUUGGGCGCUGACCUCGUCAGUAUUUCCCCCAACAGAAAUGAGGCACAGCGCUCCAGUGGAAUACGGUGGAUCUCAUUUCCAUAACACUUUCUCUCAUGAUCCCCACCCUACACCACUUCUCUGUACCAACAGCUGACCUUUAAACUACUGCUGCUGGCUGUUAUAGUCUAAUCUUUCCAUCGAACGUUGUCUGUAAGUCAUGACAGGAAUUUUCAUUGUGUCUAAUGUACUUUUUUUAAUGAACACCACGAGAUUAUACAUCACUUACAGUAUAUGUUUACAUAUGAAGAUUUAUUGUCAACAACACUCACACCAGACAAAUGCUUUAUUUGAACGAAUUCUCCUUUUUUUGGCGGUUAUUUAAGUUACAUUAUAAAACGGGCAUUCAUUCUGAUUGGUUGAAACGCGUUCUAAGCCGUGAUAAAAUACCCCGGUAACCCCACGGUUCAGACAGCAUUACAUGAGUAUCACUGCGCCACUGUUGCUACGUACUGAUUUAUGAAAAUAAACACCACAGUCUUUAAUCAUAUUUUUAAUUUGUCUACAAUUGCACAAUUACUGGCGAUAUCCCAGAUAAAUGUCAAUAAAUAUUGUUGAGUCAUAAAAAACACUGUGUACUUUUUGAUCAGACUUUAAAUCUGAUCUCUUACAAAAGUUAUUCACAAAAAUGGAAUUACCUCUAUGGUGAUAAUAGAACAAAUGAAGGUAGGAUGAAACAGGGUCUGUUCUUUCAUUUGAAUUUUUUUUAUAAAGAAGAUAAUUUUUUCUGGAAGGCAUUAAACUAAAAGUGUCAACUUAAAAAAAAAAAAAAAAACGCUGACGGGGAAAGAGUCAAGCAUGCUUCUACGCAUAUUUGAUCAUCACUUCAACAGUUAUAUACAACAGCACGAUAUAAAUGUUAAUGUAUAAAUUAGAUGAAUGUUGAUUUAUAAAAAUAAACACCACAGUCUUAAAUCAUAUUUUCAUUGUGUCUUUGCUGCGUCUGUGUUGGUUGGGAACUGCGCUCUGUUUCAGUCACACUUGAUUCUGAGAAACUGCUUUGUUUGGCGGAAGAGUAAUAUUUGUACUAAUAUAAUUACAACUUAUUUGUGUUUUAUGUUAUGAAAUCCUGCUAUGCAUAUGAAGUAACAG